rnacentral:lncRNA from 1 species
AAGAAGUCACCAAAAUGCUGGGAAUGAUUGAGGAGAAGAAGAAGGAAUUGGCCUCCAAACAAACAAGAGCUGCUGAGAUACGCCUCCAAAUUGAUGACCUUCGGCGUCAAAUUGCUGCUCUGGAUAGUGAAUUGGGGUCAAUUACUGAGGAGGAAUCCCGCAUUGUCGACAAGGUUGUGAAGCCGGCCCAAGAUACUGUCG